UUAUUAUUAUUUAUUUUUUUUACGUAGCUCCUUUUAGAAAAUGUACAGCGCGUAACGUCAAUUGCGCAGCACGCGGCACAUCGUCACGUAACCAACAUCAAAGAAGAAAAAUACACAGCGAGUUGCUAAGGCUCACACUGAUUGGUAUUCAAUUAGCUUUAUUUUUUAUUUUUCAUGUGUGUGAGUCUGUGUUCUUUUCAAAUUUUAGUUAGGUUUAUAAUUUAAAAAGAUGUGUUUUGCCCAUUGUUGCAGGAGAUUUCAUUUUUUAACAAAGUGUCUUAUGUAAAAAAACAGUUAUGCUUUGGGCAUAGCAACCAUGUUUAGUGUUUAAGCAUUAGGCAAAAAUCUGUAAAUAAAUUGUGCAAAUUA